GACGAACGCUGGCGGCGUGCCUAAUACAUGCAAGUAGAACGCUGAAGGAGGAGCUUGCUUCUCUGGAUGAGUUGCGAACGGGUGAGUAACGCGUAGGUAACCUGCCUGGUAGCGGGGGAUAACUAUUGGAAACGAUAGCUAAUACCGCAUAAUAGUAGAUGUUGCAUGACAUUUGCUUAAAAGGUGCAAUUGCAUCACUACCAGAUGGACCUGCGUUGUAUUAGCUAGUUGGUGAGGUAACGGCUCACCAAGGCGACGAUACAUAGCCGACCUGAGAGGGUGAUCGGCCACACUGGGACUGAGACACGGCCCAGACUCCUACGGGAGGCAGCAGUAGGGAAUCUUCGGCAAUGGACGGAAGUCUGACCGAGCAACGCCGCGUGAGUGAAGAAGGUUUUCGGAUCGUAAAGCUCUGUUGUAAGAGAAGAACGAGUGUGAGAGCGGAAAGUUCACACUGUGACGGUUUUUCCAGAAAGGAAGGA
rnacentral:rRNA from 1 species